GUCCUUUUGAUAAUAAUAUAAGGUCUAACCUGCCCACUGAAUAUUUUAAAGGGCCGCAGUAUUUUAACUGUGCAAAGGUAGCAUAAUAAUUAGUUUCUUAAUUAGAAGCUGGUAUGAAUGGUUGAACGAGAAAUUUUCUGUCUCAAUUUAUAUAUUAAAAUUUUAUUUUUAAGUUAAAAAGCUUAAAUUAAUUUAAAAGACGAGAAGACCCUAUAGAGUUUUAUAAAUUUAAAUAUUUAUUUUUUAGAAUUUUUUUAUAUUUUUAUUUAUUUUAUUGGGGUGAUAUAUAAAUUUAAAUAACUUUAUAUUUUUAAAAACAUUAAUUAAUGAAAAAUUGAUCCAUUUUAAUGAUUAAAAGAAAAAAUUACCUUAGGGAUAACAGCGUUAUUUUUUUUUAGAGUUCUAAUCGAAAAAAAAGAUUGCGACCUCGAUGUUGGAUUAAAAUUAAUUUUUGGUGUAGAAGCUAAAAUAUUAGGUCUGUUCGACCUUUAAAAUUUUACAUGAUCUGAGUUUAAACCGGCGUGAGCCAGGUUGGUUUCUAUCUUUAAAUAACAUAAAUAUUUUAGUACGAAAGGACCAAGUAUUUUUAAAAUUUAAUAUUUUUUGAAUA
rnacentral:rRNA from 2 species